ensembl:lncRNA
CUUGAGCCACUAGGCUGGGCUGUAUUGGAGGAACCGGGGAUAGCGAGGAAUUAAUUCCUUCUGGUCCUUCUGGACCAGAGUUCAGCUGAGCUCUUCCUGGCUGGGUUCACGUCCCAGCGGUGAAGCCGGAGGGAGAGCCAAGGGCUAAGUCCCAGGAAGAAAAAUAGGGCCGGAUUCGGGAUGGGGGUGAGGGGAGGUGUCCGUGGUCCAGAGUGAUGGUUCUGAAGAUCAGACCAUGUGAGGGGCCGAGAGUACAAAUAACGGCCGCGCCAGCGCCGGAACAGACAGCGGCGCCCGGGUGCCUCGACGGCGCGAGGGUCGCCGGCUCCGAAGCCCCGGACCAGCCUCCGCGGACUCCCGGCAGAUUCUUUACCGAUGAAGCCACCUGGGAAGCUUAUCUUUCUCUCGAAACUGAAAGUGUUACUUGCCAGUUGUGCCACACUCUUCGCUACCCUGUGGACUGUAGCCCGCCAGGCUUUUCUGUUCAUGGAAUACCUCCAGAACUUGUAGGAGCACAGGCACCUUCAAGCAACAUUACCCAAAUCACGGACAACUUGUGGCUUGAGGGCACCCCCGUGCCCCCCUCCACCC